AUUGAACGCUGGCGGCAGGCCUAACACAUGCAAGUCGAGCGAGCGGCGGACGGGGGAGUAAUGUAUGGGGACUGCCCGAUAGAGGGGGAUAACUACUGGAAACGGUAGCUAAUACCGCAUACUAUCGGAUAACCCAUAUGUGAUUAGCUAGUAGGUGAGGUAAUGGCUCACCUAGGCGACGAUCCCUAGCUGGUCUUAUAGGAUGAUCAGCCCCACUGGGACGGAGACACGGCCCAGACUCAUGCGGAGGCAGCAGUGGGGAAUAUUGAGCAAUGGGCGCAAGCCUGAUGCAGCCAUGCCGCGUGUAUGAAGAAGGCACUAGGGUUGUAAAGUACUUUCAGUCGGGAGGCGUUACCGACAGAAGAAGCACCGGCUAACUCCGUGCCAGCAGCCGCGGUAAUAC
rnacentral:rRNA from 1 species